rnacentral:rRNA from 1 species
GACGAACGCUGGCGGCGUGCUUAACACAUGCAAGUCGAACGGAAAGGCCCUGCUUUUGUGGGGUGCUCGAGUGGCGAACGGGUGUUUAACACGUGAGUAACCUGCCCUUGACUUUGGGAUAACUUCAGGAAGCUGGGGCUAAUACCGGAUAGGAGCUCCUGCUGCAUGGUGGGGGUUGGAAAGUUUCGGCGGUUGGGGAUGGACUCGCGGCUUAUCAGCUUGUUGGUGGGGUAGUGGCUUACCAAGGCUUUGACGGGUAGCCGGCCUGAGAGGGUGACCGGCCACAUUGGGACUGAGAUACGGCCCAGACUCCUACGGGAGGCAGCAGUGGGGAAUAUUGCUCAAUGGGCGGAAGCCUGAUGCAGCAACGCCGCGUGCGGGAUGACGGCCUUCGGGUUGUAAACCGCUUUCGCCUGUGACGAAGCGUGAGUGACGGUAAUGGGUAAAGAAGCACCGGCUAACUACGUG